rnacentral:rRNA from 1 species
UACACAUGCAGUCGAACGGUAACAGGUCUUCGGAUGCUGACGAGUGGCGAACGGGUGAGUAAUACAUCGGAACGUGCCCGAUCGUGGGGGAUAACGGAGCGAAAGCUUUGCUAAUACCGCAUACGAUCUACGGAUGAAAGCAGGGGACCGCAAGGCCUUGCGCGGACGGAGCGGCCGAUGGCAGAUUAGGUAGUUGGUGGGAUAAAAGCUUACCAAGCCGACGAUCUGUAGCUGGUCUGAGAGGACGACCAGCCACACUGGGACUGAGACACGGCCCAGACUCCUACGGGAGGCAGCAGUGGGGAAUUUUGGACAAUGGGCGAAAGCCUGAUCCAGCCAUGCCGCGUGCAGGAUGAAGGCCUUCGGGUUGUAAACUGCUUUUGUACGGAACGAAAAGACUCCUUCUAAUAAAGGGGGUCCAUGACGGUACCGUAAGAAUAAGCACCGGCUAACUACGUGCCAGCAGCCGCGGUAAUACGUAGGGUGCAAGCGUUAAUCGGAAUUACUGGGCGUAAAGCGUGCGCAGGCGGUUAUAUAAGACAGAUGUGAAAUCCCCGGGCUCAACCUGGGAACUGCAUUUGUGACUGUAUAGCUAGAGUACGGCAGAGGGGGAUGGAAUUCCGCGUGUAGCAGUGAAAUGCGUAGAU